rnacentral:rRNA from 1 species
UACGUAGGGUGCGAGCGUUAAUCGGAAUUACUGGGCGUAAAGUGUGCGCAGGCGGUCGUGCAAGUCGCGUGUGAAAGCCCCCGGCUCAACUGGGGAGGGUCACGCGAUACUGCUCGACUCGAAGGCAGGAGAGGGAAGUGGAAUUCCCGGUGUAGUGGUGAAAUGCGUAGAUAUCGGGAGGAACACCAGUGGCGAAGGCGACUUCCUGGCCUGUUCUUGACGCUGAGGCGCGAAAGCUAGGGUAGCAAACGGG